rnacentral:rRNA from 1 species
UACGGAGGGUGCUAGCGUUGUUCGGAAUUAUUGGGCGUAAAGAGCGUGUAGGCGGCCUCGUAAGUCAGAUGUGAAAUCCCUUGGCUUAACCGAGGAAGUGCAUUUGAAACUGCUUGGCUUGAGUACGGGAGGGGGAAGCGGAAUUCCCGGUGUAGAGGUGAAAUUCGUAGAUAUCGGGAGGAACACCGGUGGCGAAGGCGGCUUCCUGGACCGAUACUGACGCUGAGACGCGAAAGCGUGGGGAGCAAACAGG